rnacentral:rRNA from 1 species
CCGGUUGAUCCUGCCGGACCCGACUGCUAUCGGAUUGAGACUAAGCCAUGCGAGUCAACCAGCAAUGGUGGCGGACGGCUCAGUAACACGUAGUCAACCUGCCCUAGGGACGUGGAUAACCACGGGAGACUGUGGCUAAACCGCGAUAGGUCAUCGCUACUGGAAUGGGCAAUGGCUCAAACCUACAUGGCCCUAGGAUGGGACUGCGGCCGAUCAGGCUGUUGGCGGGGUAAUGGCCCACCAAACCUGUAACCGGUACGGGCUCUGAGAGGAGGAGCCCGGAGAUGGGCACUGAGACAAGGGCCCAGGUCCUAUGGGACGCAGCAGGCGCGAAACCUUCGCAAUAGGCGAAAGCCUGACGAGGUUAAUCCGAGUGUUUCCUGCUAAAGGAAUCUUUUGCCAGCUCUAGAAAGGCUGGUGAAUAAGGGGUGGGCAAGCCUGGUGUCAGCCGCCGCGGUAAAACCAGCAUC